rnacentral:rRNA from 1 species
GAUGAACGCUGGCGGCGUGCCUAAUACAUGCAAGUCGAGCGAACAGACGAGGAGCUUGCUCCUCUGACGUUAGCGGCGGACGGGUGAGUAACACGUGAUUAACUACCUAUUAGAACGGGAUUAAUUUCGGAAACUGGAGCUAAUACCGGAUUAUUUAUUGAAACGCCUGGUUUAAUAGUUAAAGACGGUUUUGCCUUUCCUUUUAGAUGGAUUCCGCGCCGCAUUAGCUAGUUGGUAAGGUAACGGCUUACCAAGGCAACGAUGCGUAGCCGACCUGAGAGGGUGAUCGGCCACACUGGAACUGAGACACGGUCCAGACUCCUACGGGAGGCAGCAGUAGGGAAUCUUCCGCAAUGGGCGAAAGCCUGACGGAGCAACGCCGCGUGAGUGAUGAAGGUCUUCGGAUCGUAAAACUCUGUUAUUAGGGAAGAACAAAUGUGUAAGUAACUAUGCACGUCUUGACGGUACCUAAUCAGAAAGCCACGGCUAACUACGUG